rnacentral:rRNA from 1 species
UGGGGAAUUUUGCACAAUGGGGGAAACCCUGAUGCAGCGACGCCGCGUGAUUUAGAAGGCCUUCGGGUUGUAAAAAUCUUUUCUAUGGGAAGAAAAUGACAGUACCAUAGGAAUAAGGACCGGCUAAUUACGUGCCAGCAGCCGCGGUAAUACGUAAGGUCCGAGCGUUGUCCGGAAUCAUUGGGCGUAAAGGGUACGUAGGCGGGUAAGCAAGUUAGAAGUGAAAUCCUAUAGCUCAACUAUAGUAAGCUUUUAAAACUGCUCAUCUUGAGGUAUGGAAGGGAAAGUGGAAUUCCUAGUGUAGCGGUGAAAUGCGCAGAUAUUAGGAGGAGUACCGGUGGCGAAGGCGACUUUCUGGCCAUAACCUGACGCUGAGGUACGAAAGAGUGGGUAGCAAACAGG